CUGUGCUAGACGGGGAGGUAGCGGUGCCCUGUACUCGCAACCCGCUGUAGCGAGGUCGAAUUCCCGUCCGAGGCCGGCUCUUGUGAGGUCUGCCCAUAAUAAGUGGCGUUGAAGAUUGGGUCCUACGCGGCAGGGCUUUACGAACCCCGUCAGGUCCGGAAGGAAGCAGCGGUAAGUAAAAUCCCCUGGGUGCCGUAGGAGUGCCUGAUUGGAGCAAACUGUUAUGGUUACGCUCGGAAGGACUCGGUCGAAGUCGGGUGCACAG
rnacentral:SRP_RNA from 1 species